rnacentral:rRNA from 1 species
AGUCGACGCUUCUUUUUCCACCGGAGCUUGCUCCACCGGAAAAAGANGAGUGGCGAACGGGUGAGUAACACGUGGGUAACCUGCCCAUCAGAAGGGGAUAACACUUGGAAACAGGUGCUAAUACCGUAUAACAAUCAAAACCGCAUGGUUUUGAUUUGAAAGGCGCUUUCGGGUGUCGCUGAUGGAUGGACCCGCGGUGCAUUAGCUAGUUGGUGAGGUAACGGCUCACCAAGGCCACGAUGCAUAGCCGACCUGAGAGGGUGAUCGGCCACAUUGGGACUGAGACACGGCCCAAACUCCUACGGGAGGCAGCAGUAGGGAAUCUUCGGCAAUGGACGAAAGUCUGACCGAGCAACGCCGCGUGAGUGAAGAAGGUUUUCGGAUCGUAAAACUCUGUUGUUAGAGAAGAACAAGGAUGAGAGUAACUGUUCAUCCCUUGACGGUAUCUAACCAGAAAGCCACGGCUAACUACGUGCCAGCAGCCGCGGUAAUACGUAGGUGGCAAGCGUUGUCCGGAUUUAUUGGGCGUAAAGCGAGCGCAGGCGGUUUCUUAAGUCUGAUGUGAAAGCCCCCGGCUCAACCGGGGAGGGUCAUUGGAAACUGGGAGACUUGAGUGCAGAAGAGGAGAGUGGAAUUCCAUGUGUAGCGGUGAAAUGCGUAGAUAUAUGGAGGAACACCAGUGGCGAAGGCGGCUCUCUGGUCUGUAACUGACGCUGANGCUCGAAAGCGUGGGGAGCAAACAGGAUUAGAUACCCUGGUAGUCCACGCCGUAAACGAUGAGUGCUAAGUGUUGGAGGGUUUCCGCCCUUCAGUGCUGCAGCUAACGCAUUAAGC